rnacentral:lncRNA from 1 species
ACUGGCAGCCAGGUGGGCGGCCGGGGCUGGGGCCGGGGCCGGGAGGGUCCCAAGUGGGGACCGGCGGGCGUGGGGAACCCCGAGCGCGGGGAGGGAAGGCGGCAGCUCCUCGCCCCUCGUGCGUCCUCCUUCCGGAGCUGCCGGCGGCCGACCCUGCGCGGGACACCGGGCGGGAACCGGACGCCGCGGCGCAGAGGACAGGGCUCGGCUGCCGGGCCGGGGAAGGACCAGGAGUGCCGCCCUCCGCCCUCCCCGGGCCCUGGCCUCGGCCGGACUCGCUAAGCCCGGGAAAGCCACCGGGCCCCCACCGCCCCGGCGCGCGCCCUGCCCGCGGCGGCCGCGACUGCACGGUGCAGCCUCCGGGAUCCGGGCGGGGAAGUGCGUGCAUCCGCAGCCGCUCUGGACGCUCGGGCGGGCCGUGGAAGACGCCGGUGCGGGAGCGCCCUUGGGCGAACCUCUGCGGCGCUCCGGCGCCCGUCGCUGCUGCCCGGGAACUGCAAGCUGCCUGGACUGGGCCCGGUGCUGCCUUCAGGCCUGGUGUGAUCCGGGCGCACUGGCGCGUUGACAGUCAUUCUGGCACCGGCCACGCAGCUCUCCGUCUGUGCAAGGCCACGCUCCUGAGGACAGAGGUGCAGUUUUAAAACAAGGGCACGGAAAUAAAACCGACCACACACCGUAAAGGACCCAGAGACCCUGCCUCAGCUGCCCCCGCAACCUGGUGCCUGAGGUCAGGACAGGCUGCAGUGGUCCUGAGAGGCUGAGCCAGCCUCACUCCCACAGCCUGCUCAAGGGUCCUUGCAGGAGAAUGGAGUGAUACCACCUCAGUGGGGCGCUGAGGGCGCUGGGAGAAGGGUUAAGGAGAUGGCCACCAGCAUCCCCGAGAACACCUUUGGGGCUCUGGGGAUCAAAACCUGGGGCUACAGCCCUCUUGGCACAGUCAGCCAAGGUCAUUCCCUGGACAAAUUAGACGCUUGGCCAGGUUCUUGUCACCCCAACCUCAAGCUAGGCCCUUGAUCUUGGCCACAGACUGGCCCUGACCCCAAUUUUAGGUUCUACUCAGCUCUGUGUCCACAGCACACACACACCCCCCCAGCUCACUCCCUGGCUUGCCCUCUAUGGGGGUGAGUAUGGAACCCCACAGGGACUCUGGGCUCUCCCCGCAGAGCCCCACCUAGCCCUAAAUGCAGUCCCAGGUCCCACACCCCAACCCCCCUCCCCUCCACCACUGCCACUUCCAAACCAGCCCCGCAGUCUACUGGGAAGGAGGCAGGACUCUACAGGCUGGAGACACUCGGCCACACGUGGCUUGGUGUGUGGGCUUGUGGUCCUGGCCCAUGAGGGGCAGGGUGAGAGGGACAGGUGAGCAGACAGCAGUUGUGCAGUGGUGUCACCUGGUCAGCACAGGUGGAGGCAGAAGGCCCUGGGCGCCAGGUGGGGAAGGAGGGUUCUGAGUGUCUCCCACGCCCAGGGCGUGAGCUCAGCAGCCUCAGGGUUCUGGUUCACUGAGCACAGCUCCUCCAAGCCCCUGAGAAUGGUGAAUCCCAGACAGAUGCCUGGCGCUGCUUCCAGCCCUGGGGCAGGCCCCAAGGGGCUACCCACUAGGCCCCCUGGCCCUCUAGGGAUGGGACCGAUUGUUUUAAUCACUUUUAUUUUCUAAAUAUUAAAGACAUUCUUCUUUAGUGAAAGAUAUUUGGAAAGCAUUGAAAAGUGUUUAGAAGAUAGCAGAUACCCAGAAAUCAAUUCCCCAAUUUCUGUAUGUUUAUAUGUAUGUACACCAACAUAUACUUACACCUUUUAAAGCAAACUCUGCAUCCCUACU